rnacentral:rRNA from 1 species
GUCCACGCCCUAAACGAUGUCUACUAGUUGUCGGGUCUUAAUUGACUUGGUAACGCAGCUAACGCGUGAAGUAGACCGCCUGGGGAGUACGGUCGCAAGAUUAAAACUCAAAGGAAUUGACGGGGACCCGCGCAAGCGGUGGAUGAUGUGGAUUAAUUCGAUGCAACGCGAAAAACCUUACCUACCCUUGACAUGGAUGGAAUCCCGGAGAGAUUUGGGAGUGCCCGAAAGGGAACCAUUACACAGGUGCUGCAUGGCUGCCGUCAGCUCGUGUCGUGAGAUGUUGGGUUAAGUCCCGCAACGAGCGCAACCCUUGUCAUUAGUUGCUACGAAAGAGCACUCUAAUGAGACUGCCGGUGACAAACCGGAGGAAGGUGGGGAUGACGUCAAGUCCUCAUGGCCCUUAUGGGUAGGGCUUCACACGUCAUACAAUGGUACAUACAGAGGGCCGCCAACCCGCGAGGGGGAGCUAAUCCCAGAAAGUGUAUCGUAGUCCGGAUCGUAGUCUGCAACUCGACUACGUGAAGUUGGAAUCGCUAGUAAUCGCGGAUCAGCAUGUCGCGGUGAAUACGUUCCCGGGUCUUGUACACACCGCCCGUCACACCAUGGGAGCGGGUUUUACCAGAAGUAGUUAGCCUAACCGUAAGGAGGGCGAUUACCACGGCAGGGUUCGUGACUGGGGUGAAGUCGUAACAAGGUAACC